UUUGGUAUUUUUAAUAAUUAAAAUCUAAUUUUUCUUAUUUUUUAAAACAUUUUCGAAAAAUCAGAAAUUAAAAUAAUUAAAACUGUCGCUAAAGGCCCCUAUAGUGACAGAACCGUCGCUAUAGGUGUUCUUGAGCCUACCCAGAUCUUCAUAAGGCAGAACCGAGUGGCCUACUUUGACCGUGAAUAACUCUCUCAUCUUAACGAAUUUGGACAAUCUAUAAAUUGGGUCUUGUAGAGGAAAUACAAGACUACAAGAUCCAACAAUCAUAACCUCUAAACAAACAUCAGAUCUGGGAUAAAUCAGCCAUCAAAGUAGCUACCAAAGCUGUUCUUCACGAAGAACAGUUCGAGGUGCCUACUUUGGACCUCUAUAACUUGAUGAUCGUGUAACGUUUAUGUGAUCUAUCAAUUCCAGUGUGUAGACAACAUGUAGGACUACAACUCUAACACUUAACAUCAUCAUAAAAACAAGAAAUCAAGCAUCUAAAGUAUGGUCAAACCUUGUCAGAAAAAUUAACACUUAGAAAAUUCUGGGCUGCCCAGAAUUUUCUGGUCAAUGCCGGUCAACCCACUUUGACCUUAAAUAAAUCUUAAUCCGUAACAUAUAUGGACCUGAUUCUUUUUGGAGGUUAAAUAACACAUAACAAGCUACACAUAUCAACCUUUAGAACACAAAACACAUUAAAGAUGACCGAGAUAUAAGGCCUGACAUUUUCCAAAAUAAUAUUUUCUGGACACUUAGAAUAUUUUCUGGGUUUGAAGAACAGCCGGUCAAUGUCGGUCAACCCACUUUGACCGCUUAUAAAUCCCGAUAUACAAUAGCUAUGAACUUUAUUCCUUUUGGAGAUUAAAGACCACAUAUCAGGCUACCUAUAACAAUUGAGCAUCUCGAGUUGUUGGUAGGGUAGUGAUGUUGGCCAUGAUUUGUUGCUAGAUUCCUCCAAUAAUACACUAAUAAUUGGUUUCUUCCUUUAAUAAUGCACAAGGGUAGUUUAGACUUCUCAUGUCUACCAUGAAGGGCAUUAUAGACAUUAUCCAUAACCAUUAGGGUUUAUCACUUUAGAUUUUAAAAUUCCAUAAAUAAUAUAACUAAUAAUACACUAAAAGGGUAUUUUGGUAAUUUUACAUAUAAUUUCAUGGACAUUUUUGUAUAUAGCAAUUAAAUGUAGUAUUUAAUCACUA
rnacentral:lncRNA from 1 species